AUUGAACGCUGGCGGAAUGCUUUACACAUGCAAGUCGAACGGCAGCACGGGGCAACCUGGUGGCGAGUGGCGAACGGGUGAGUAAUACAUCGGAACGUGCCCAAUCGUGGGGGAUAACGUAGCGAAAGCUACGCUAAUACCGCAUACGAUCUACGGAUGAAAGCGGGGGAUCGCAAGACCUCGCGCGAAUGGAGCGGCCGAUGGCAGAUUAGGUAGUUGGUGGGGUAAAGGCUCACCAAGCCUGCGAUCUGUAGCUGGUCUGAGAGGACGACCAGCCACACUGGAACUGAGACACGGUCCAGACUCCUACGGGAGGCAGCAGUGGGGAAUUUUGGACAAUGGGCGCAAGCCUGAUCCAGCCAUUCCGCGUGCAGGAUGAAGGCCCUCGGGUUGUAAACUGCUUUUGUACGGAACGAAAAGGCUUUCUCUAAUACAGGGGGCUCAUGACGGUACCGUAAGAAUAAGCACCGGCUAACUACGUAGCCAGCAGCCGCGGUAAU
rnacentral:rRNA from 1 species